GAUGAAGAACGUAGCGAAAUGCGAUACGUAGUGUGAAUUGCAGAAUUCAGUGAAUCAUCGAAUCUUUGAACGCACAUUGCACCUCUCGGUAUUCCGGGAGGUAUGCCUGUUCGAGCGUCAUUUGUACCCUCAAGCUCUGCUUGGUGUUGGGUGUUUGCUCCGCCUCUGUGUGUGAACUCGCCUCAAAACAAUUGGCAGCCGGCGUACUUGUUUCGGAGCGCAGCACAUUUUGCGAUCCAGAUCAACGUACAGCGGCAUCCAAGAAGCCUUAUUUUUAACGCUCUUGACCUCGGAUCAGGUAGGGAUACCCGCUGAACUUAAGCAUAUCAAUAAGCGGAGGA
rnacentral:misc_RNA from 1 species